GCCACUGUGAUGUAGUGGUUUGGAUGCUAGACUAGGACCCUGGAUAUCAGGGUUCAAAUCCCUACUCAGCCA